rnacentral:rRNA from 1 species
AUACGUAGGGGGCGAGCGUUGUCCGGAAUGAUUGGGCGUAAAGGGCGCGUAGGCGGCCCGGUAAGUCUGGAGUGAAAGUCCUGUUUUUAAGAUGGGAAUUGCUUUGGAUACUGUCGGGCUUGAGUGCCGGAGAGGUAAGUGGAAUUCCCAGUGUAGCGGGGAAAUGCGUAGAGAUUGGGAGGAACACCAGUGGCGAAGGCGACUUACUGGACUGUAACUGACGCUGAGGCGCGAAAGUGUGGGGAGCAAACAGGAUUAGAUACCCUGGUAGUCCACACUGUAAACGAUGAAUGCUAGGUGUAGGGGGUAUCGACCCCUUCUGUGCCGCAGUCAACACAAUAAGCAUUCCGCCUGGGGAGUACGGCCGCAAGGUUGAAACUCAAAGGAAUUGACGGGG